CUCUCUCUCUCUCUCUCUCUCUCUCUCUCUCAUGAAUACCUAUCAUCUUCUAUUGCGUCGUCCUCCCAAGUAAUCAUCACGAUCUCCUUCCCUUUAUUCGUCAUUUCCGUAAAAAAUAAUAUUCAAAUGACCACAACAAGGACAAUUUUGAAAAAAACUAUAUUUUUAUGUCAGGAUUACUAAAUUUUAUAAACUGAACCAAACAUAUUAAUGCUAUAAACACUGUAAUCUAGUAUUA
rnacentral:lncRNA from 1 species